rnacentral:rRNA from 1 species
GAUGAACGCUAGCGAUAGGCUUAACACAUGCAAGUCGAGGGGCAGCAUGGUCUUAGCUUGCUCAGACUGAUGGCGACCGGCGCACGGGUGCGUAACGCGUAUGCAACUUGCCUCACAGAGGGGGAUAACCCGUCGAAAGACGGACUAAUACCGCGUACACUCCAUCUUGGGCAUCCAAGGUAGAGGAAAUGAAAUUCGCUGUGAGAUAGGCAUGCGUCCCAUUAGCUAGUUGGUGAGGUAACGGCUCACCAAGGCGACGAUGGGUAGGGGAACUGAGAGGUUGAACCCCCACACUGGUACUGAGACACGGACCAGACUCCUACGGGAGGCAGCAGUGAGGAAUAUUGGUCAAUGGGCGAGAGCCUGAACCAGCCAAGUCGCGUGAAGGAUGACUGUCUUAUGGAUUGUAAACUUCUUUUAGACGGGAAUAACAAGAGUCACGUGUGACUCCCUGCAUGUACCGUAUGAAUAAGCAUCGGCUAACUCCGUG